GGGGAUAUAGUUAAUCAUAACAUUUAAUUUGCAAUUAAAAAGUACUAUUUAGUUUUCCUCA
rnacentral:tRNA from 1 species